rnacentral:tRNA from 1 species
GCGUUCUUAGCUCAGAUGGUAGAGCGCUACUAUGACAUGGUAGAGGGCGAUGGUUCAAAUCCAUUAGAACGCA